GAAAUCCCACCUGUCCUUCUGGCUACAGAGCACUUACUUACCAAGCCCAUGAAAUCGAAUGCAGAUCUUCCUGAUGUGAGAUUUACAUAAAUAUGUCAAAGUCUCAACCUCAUGCUGCCCUCCCCCAUCCUCCUAAACCUGUGGAUACAAAUGCAGAUUUCCUUAAUGUUCAAUGGUGCGUGUUCUUCUAAUGGCCGCCUUCCCACUGGAGGUUUUGAUCCACAGCAAUUUAAAAGGAGGACAGAGCAAAACGGACAGAGUGAAGAACUGCCCUUCAUAAGGACACUAUGACAGCCAUAUAUAAUAAGUGAAGACUUUCUGUGUAUCUAAAAUUGCAUACAGCACAAGUAACUUACUUUGCAACCAUUAAAAUAGGUUGUAAAGUAAGUUACCAAUACAAAUAGGUGAUGAUGCAUUGUAGUGGUUGGUCUCAGACAAAGAAGGUCAACAGAUUUAUGAAUGCUGGAGGGUAAGGAGAGACGACCAAAAGGGGUGUUAGCAUUACUGUAAUGUGAACUGGAUAGACUUUCCA